AGAGUUUGAUCCUGGCUCAGAAUGAACGUUGGCGGCGUGGAUUAGGCAUGCAAGUCGAGCGAGAACCAGUUCUUCGGAAUUGGGGAAAGCGGCAAACGGGGUAGUGAUGCGUCGGUACGUGCCCUCAGGUCGGGGAUAGCCAGAGGAAACUCUGAUUAAUACCCGAUGAUCUCGAGAGAGCAAAGGUCCGCUGCCGGAGGAGCGGCCGACGUGGUAUCAGGUUGUUGGUGGGGUAAUGGCCCACCAAGCCUUAGACGCCUAGGGGGCGUGAGAGCGUGGCCCCCACCACUGGGACUGAGAUACUGCCCAGACACCUACGGGUGGCUGCAGUCGAGAAUCUUCCGCAAUGGGCGAAAGCCUGACGGAGCGACGCCGCGUGCGGGAUGAAGGCCCUUGGGUUGUAAACCGCUGUCAGGGGGGAUGAAAGCCGCAAGGCUUGACAGAGCCCCAGAGGAAGCACGGGCUAAGUUCGUGCCAGCAGCCGCGGUAAGACGAACUGUGCGAACGUUAUUCGGAAUCACUGGGCUUACAGGGUGCGUANGCGGCUUGAAAAGUANGGUGUGAAAUCCCCCGGCCCAACCGGGGAACUGCGCUCUAAACUAUCANGCUUGANUAAGCUAGGGGUGCACGGAACUUCCAGUGGAGCGGU
rnacentral:rRNA from 1 species